rnacentral:rRNA from 1 species
AUACGUAGGGAGCGAGCGUUGUCCGGAAUUACUGGGCGUAAAGGGCGCGUAGGCGGCGCUUCAGGUCGUCUGUCAAAUGGAAGGGCUUAACCCUUUUUCGCAGACGAAACUGGAGAGCUUGAGAAGCAGAGAGGCAAACAGAAUUCCUGGUGUAGCGGUGAAAUGCGUAGAUAUCAGGAAGAAUACCAGUGGCGAAGGCGGUUUGCUGGCUGCAUACUGACGCUGAAGCGCGAAAGCCAGGGGAGCAAACGGGAUUAGAUACCCCGGUAGUCCUGGCAGUAAACGAUGUAUGCUGGGUGUGAGACUAGCGAUAGUUUCGUGCCGAAGUUAACGCGAUAAGCAUACCGCCUGGGGAGUACGGUCGCAAGAUUGAAACUUAAAGGAAUUGACGGGG